UGCAUCGUCCGGGAAUCGUACCCGGCCCGCGUGACAGGCGAGCAUUCUACCACUGAACCACCGAUGG